rnacentral:tRNA from 1 species
GGAGAGGUGCUGGAGUGGCUUAACAGGCUCGCCUGGAAAGCGGGUAGAGGUAUCCCCUCUCGUGGGUUCGAAUCCCACCCUCUCCGCCA